CUGUUCUGGCUUCUCUUCAAUGAAUGAUUCUUUCGCCGUUUACUAAAAAAAUCCGUGGAGAGAAGCAGUUCCAGGAGUCUUGAACAUUGAACUGUUAAAAACAAAACCCUUUAACGU
ensembl:snRNA U5 U5 spliceosomal RNA